rnacentral:rRNA from 1 species
AUUGGACAAUGGGCGCAAGUCUGAUCCAGCCAUGCCGCGUGAGUGAUGAAGGCCCUAGGGUUGUAAAGCUCUUUCACCGGUGAAGAUAAUGACGGUAACCGGAGAAGAAGCCCCGGCUAACUUCGUGCCA